rnacentral:rRNA from 1 species
GAUAAACGCUGGCGGCGUGCAUGAGACAUGCAAGUCGAACGGGUGACUUAGGGCUUGCUCUAAGUCGCUAGUGGCGGACGGCUGAGUAACGCGUAGGUGACCUACCCCGAAGUGGGGAAUAACUGCCCGAAAGGGUGGCUAAUACCGCAUGUGAUCGGUCAUUCAUUUGAUUGCUCAAAGCAGAAAUGCGCUUUGGGAGGGGCCUGCGUCCGAUUAGCUCGUGGGUGGGGUAAUGGCUCACCAAGGCGACGAUCGGUAGGUGGUCUGAGAGGACGAUCACCCAGACUGGGACUGAGACACGGCCCAGACUCCUACGGGAGGCAGCAGUCGGGAAUUUUGCUCAAUGGGGGAAACCCUGAAGCAGCAACGCCGCGUGAGGGAUGAAGGCCUUCGGGUUGUAAACCUCUUUUCUCAGGGACGAUGAUGACGGUACCUGAGGAAUAAGCCACGGCUAACUACGUGCCAGCCGCCGCCGUAA